rnacentral:rRNA from 1 species
CAGUCGCCGCGGUAAUACGGAGGGGGCUAGCGUUGUUCGGAAUUACUGGGCGUAAAGCGCACGUAGGCGGCUUGGUAAGUUAGAGGUGAAAGCCCGGAGCUCAACUCCGGAAUUGCCUUUAAGACUGCCGAGCUAGCAGGUGAGAGAGGUAAGUGGAAUUCCGAGUGUAGAGGUGAAAUUCGUAGAUAUUCGGAAGAACACCAGUGGCGAAGGCGGCUUACUGGCUCAUACUGGACGCUGAGGUGCGAAAGCGUGGGGAGCAAACAGGAUUAGAUACCCGCGUAGUCCCUGUCUCUUAUAC